rnacentral:rRNA from 1 species
AGAGCGAACGCUGGCGGCAGGCUUAACACAUGCAAGUCGAGCGGGCGUAGCAAUACGUCAGCGGCAGACGGGUGAGUAACGCGUGGGAACGUACCUUUUGGUUCGGAACAACCCAGGGAAACUUGGGCUAAUACCGGAUAAGCCCUUACGGGGAAAGAUUUAUCGCCGAAAGAUCGGCCCGCGUCUGAUUAGCUAGUUGGUGAGGUAAUGGCUCACCAAGGCGACGAUCAGUAGCUGGUCUGAGAGGAUGAUCAGCCACAUUGGGACUGAGACACGGCCCAAACUCCUACGGGAGGCAGCAGUGGGGAAUAUUGGACAAUGGGCGCAAGCCUGAUCCAGCCAUGCCGCGUGAGUGAUGAAGGCCCUAGGGUUGUAAAGCUCUUUUGUGCGGGAAGAUAAUGACGGUACCGCAAGAAUAAGCCCGGACUAACUUCGCGCCAGCAGCCGC